GGUGUAACAAUAAAUGGAUUAAUUAAGAAAUGGACAUUAAAACCUUUUGUUGGAAUGCUUUCUACUUUCCACAGAACAGAAACUAGAAUAGCACUUUAGGGGGCCAGAGUGGCAGGGUUGCUUGAGGGCAGGAGUUUGUGACCAGCCUGGGCAACUUGGUGAGACCCUGUCUCUACAAAAAACAAACAAAAAAAGUAAGCCGGUCAUGGUGGUGCAUACCUGUAAGUCCCAGCUCUGCAGGAGGCUGAGGCGGGAGGAUCGUUUGAGCCCAAGAGUUCAAGGUUACAGUGAGCUAUGAUCACACCACUGCACUGCAGCCUGGGCAACAGAGUGAGACCCUGUCUCAAAUACGUAUACACAGUCUGCAUUAAAUUUUCUUUAAUGAUUAUCUUUAAUUGAGCCGAUAGUUAUUUCUCAAAAAGUAUAAUGUACAUAUGAAUUUACAUCUCUUAGCUAACCACAUACUAAUUAUUGGGGUCAUGGUAUUCUAGUCACUUGGAGUUUCUUGGCCAUCCUUGACUUCUCUGGCUAUAGAAAAUUCCUAAAAGUACAGGAAAAACUUUUUUAUUGUAAAAAGUGACAAAAAUUGUAGCCAAGACAAGGCAAAUUUAAAAAACUCAUUCUGGCCACAGAGUGCUCUGGCUUUCCACUGGGGCUGGUUGUCAGUAACAGCCAGGGAGUGAGGCCAUAAGGAGAUCCCCAAAAGGUGAGUUCUGAGCCUCCGUGAGUUAGAGGUUAGUACUU
rnacentral:lncRNA from 1 species